CACGUGGGCAAUCUGCCGUGAAGUUGGGGAUAACUUGCCGAAAGGUGAGCUAAUACCGAAUGUGACUUUUAGGAGGCAUCUUCUAAAAGUGGAAGUUGGGGACCGCAAGGCCUGACGCUUCACGAUGAGCCCGCGGCCUAUCAGCUUGUUGGUGAGGUAACGGCCCACCAAGGCUAAGACGGGUAGCUGGUCUGAGAGGACGACCAGUCACACUGGAACUGAGACACGGUCCAG
rnacentral:rRNA from 1 species